GAUGUCCGGUCGCCCCCGGAGCCGGUGCUUCCGGACUAUCUCGGGCGUCCCCGGCGCGCCCCGACGUGCCGCGGACCUAUAUUUAAGGUGAGUCAGGUGCUCCGAAUAGGCGCAAAGGGGGGCUCCCGGCGCAGCUGGGGUAACUGUCUGGCCGUCUGCCCCUCGCUGGGUUCCCUCCGGCACCGCCCAUGGCCCCCGCACCCUGGGAGGAGAGGGAAGGGCCUUGGCCGUUCCUCAGAGGUGGUGGGCGGGGGGCUUCAGUAAGGAACUGUCAGCCAGCCCAGCACUUGGUGGUACGCAGCCAGCAUUUCACCCUACAAGCCCCCCUCACCCCACUCCCGCUCUGCCCUGUGCAGUGCCUGCCUGGGACCUGGCACCAGUCGGCGCUCCAUUAUUGCUCUCAUCAUUUUUUUCACAGUGGGAGUCAUGACUAAUAUCUACUGGGCACCUCGGUCCCUGAGUGACCCCUGGGAGUGGAGAGCUGCCCCACCUCCCAUUUGACAGAUACCAGGAAGUCAGGCAUUUGCCCACAGCCGCAGAACGCUGUCUGAGGCGGUCGCUCCUGGGCCGUGGCAGCUCUGGACGGGCUCUUCCUGUGCUCCAGAGGGGACCCUCGGGCCGGCUUGUCCUGCACUUCUCAGACAGGCAUGCCGGAUGAUGUGGCCACCUGACAGUGAAGGCAUCAGGACUGGAGCCCACGUCCACCUGAUCCCCAGUCCCAAGGUGCUCUAGCUGCCCUCUGCCCCUUGACCUUGGCCUUGGGGUGGUUUGUCCCCGCACUGCCUUGAGUCUGUUCUCUCAUCUGAAAAGUGGGGGCCGCUAACCUUACCAUGCCCGGCUGCCCCCCGCCAUUGAGCCUCCUGCGCACACGCGCAGGGCCCGGUGCCCUGAGGCAAGGGCACAGCCGCCCAGCUGCUUUCGUCUGGGUGGUGCAGGCGGGGCCCGCGGGGCGUUCAGACCCAGGCCUCUGCCGGGAGCCGGAGCAGAUCUCAGAGCAAUCUGUAAUGACGAAACAGCGCAUUUCCCUUUAUCUCUGGGCAAGGAUUUCUUGGUUCAGGGCAAUUCAUCCAGGAGCAGCCUCAGCUGAGUGGGCACCGCUCCUUGAAGAUCAAAAGUGCCGGGCGGGUGUUAACUAAGUCAUCAUCUCAGGCCGCCCCAGGCCCAGGCUCGGGAUCAGGCCUUUCCAGUCCAGCCUCCCCAGAAAGGGAGAUGAGGCAGCCAGCAGCCCAGGAGGGCACUCUCAAUGCUGAUUUUAACUCUCUAUUAGACAUUUUUAUUUUCCUUUUUCAAUACACAGACAGCAAUGGAGUUUCAAAUAGCACAUGAGCCCGCAGUCGUUUUGUGGCUGUUUUGUGAAUAAAGACCUAAGGGAAGGAGCACUGGGGGGGCUUCAGGAACCGACGCCAGAUCUGGACUGUCCAGGACAGGAGCCACUAGCCACGCAAGGCCAUCGGGCAUUUGAAACAUGGCCGGUCUGAGCUGUGAUGUGCUGUUGUUAGUGUAAAACACACCCAGCGUCCAGGACUUGGUGUGAAAGUGAAGAGCGUAAAAUCUCUCGUCAAUAAUUUCGACAUUAAUUACCUGUUAAAAUGAUAAGAUUUUGACAUAUUGAGUUCAGUAAACUGUAUGAUUGCAAUUAAUUUCACCCGUUUGUUUUUCCUUUGUUUAAUGUGUCUACUAGAAAAUUUUAAAUUCCGUUUGUGGCUUUAAUGACGUUUCUACUGGACAAGGCUGGUCUAGACACCCGGAGCUCAUAUCUACUUGGUGGAGCUAAGCAGCACCUCGGAGCCUCAGCUGCCUCCUCUGGGUAGCAGCCAACUCACAGGGCCACUUGAGGAAAUACUCACUCGCUCACGCAACAGAUGUUCUGUGCCAGGCACUGGGCGCGGCACAGGGAUGCAGCGCUAACACGAUGCCCUCAUGGAACACACAGUCUCUUCAGGGAGCAAUAAACAAGUGACAAAACAAGUGUAUCAGGAAAUCUUUAAAUCACAUCAUCUGCCGGGGUCUUUGCUCAUGUUCUCUCGUCAGAAGACCGGGGAAGAUGCACAAAAGCAACACAUGGGGACAAAUUCAUGGAGACACUCUACUGCCGGCCAACAAUGAAAACGCAGCCCAGGGUGGCGGCUGUGAGGAUGGUUUCCUGCCACGUGGAAGCUCCGAUGAUGUGUCCUGUACUCUCACCCCUGUUUUCUCCUGCCGGGUUUUGAGCGCCCUGAUUUUCUUUCUUUCUUUCUUCUUUUUAACAUCUUUAUUGGAGUAUAACUGCUUUACAAUGGUGUGUUUCUGCUGUAUAACAAAGUGAAUCAGCCAUAUGUAUACAUAUAUCCCCUCCCUCUUGCGUCUCCCUCCCUCCCACCCUCCCUAUCCCACCCCUCUAGGUGGUCACAAAGCACCGAGCUGAUCUCCCUGUGCUCUGCGGCUGCUUCCCGCUAGCUAUCUAUUUUACAUUUGGUAGUGUAUGGAUGUCCAUGCCACUCUCUCAUUUCAUCCCAGCUUACCCUUCCCCCUCCCCGUGUCCUCAAGUCCAUUCUCUACGUCUGCAUCUUUAUUCCUGUCUUACCCCUAGGUCCUUCAGAACUUUUUUUGUUUUUUUAGAUUCCAUAUAUAUGUGUUAGCAUACCGUAUUUGUUUUUCUCUUUCUGACUUACUUCAUUCUGUACAACAGUCUCUAGGUCCAUCCACCUCACUAAAAAUAACUCAAUUUCGUUUCUUUUUAUGGGUGAGUAAUAUUCCAUUGUAUAUAUGUGCCACAUCUUCUUUAUCCAUUCAUCUGUUGAUGGACACUUAGGUUGCUUCCAUGUCUUGGCUAUUGUAAAUAG